AAACAGUAAGCUCACAUAAUCCAGAGCCAGUAGGUUCAGAGCCUUCUAGAGAACCAAGAGAACUGAUGGGUCCACUCUAGUCUGGGAGGCAUGAGCUAAAUGCCAUAGUUCUAUUAUGAAGGUGGCAGCUUCAAGACCCAGGAAGGGUCAGCAUUUCAGUUUCAAUAUGAAGGGAGGAAAAAAGUCAAUGUCCCAGUCUGAAAAUCAUCAGGAAGAAUUCCCUCCUACCUAAGGGAGGACUUGGCCAUCAACUGAUUGGAUGAGGCCCACCCUCACUGAGGAGGGCAAGCUGCUUUAGUCUACCAGUCUUUACUCAGUCUAAGUGUUAACCUUAUUCAAAACCACCCUCACUAAACACCCACAAUAAUGUUUGCCCAUAUAUCUUAGCACCUUGGGCCCGGUUGAAUUGACACAUAAAAUUAACCAUGACACUAUCAUACUCCACUAAACAAGAAUAUAAUCUUCCCAAUAAAUUGAUGUGAAUAAAAUCCUCAAAAUGUCAAUAGUAAAUGGCAGCUUCCAGUCUAAACUUGUAUGUGUAGUAUAUAUAUUCACAUGUAUACGUGCAUGUUACUUAUAGUAUAUGAAGUUAUUAUUCUUAAUCAUUUAAGGAAUAAUUUUAAGUGUUGUUCCUGUUAUAUAUAAAUCACAAAAUUCCAUCUCUCAAAAAAUGUUGAGUCCUGUCUCCCAUUGGACAUGGUGAAAUUGUGUUUUGAGUAUUUGUUUACUUGUAUCAACAUUAAACCUCUAGGUAAUAAUUAAUGGCAGAUCCACCAGGAAAGGAAAGUCUUCACAUUCCACAAACUCGACGGUGGAGGCAGGUUAUACUCUCCUAUUCCCGCCAGAGGAAAAGCCGUUUCCAUAUCAUUCCCAGGCAGCAGCUCAACCACUGAAACCCACAUUCCUUCAAACUACCAUUUUAUUACAAAGAACUUUAGUUUAUAAGCAACUUCUCAACUCAUCCCUUGUGUCCAGAAAAGCAGGCCUUCUUCUGUAUUCCCUGGACUCAGCUACGGUUUUGCCUAACCAGUUUGGCACUAAUUCCAAAUCCUGUUUUUCCAGAAUGAACCCAUCACUUGGCCGUAAAAUACCCGGCAGUGCUUAUUUAUAAGUGUAAAUGUAACAAGAUUCACUUUUGUAGGAUAAAUAAAUAUGGGAUUUCUAUUGUACAGCACAGUGACUGUUGUCUACACUUGAAAUUUGGUGGAAGAAAGCAUCUCAAGCAUGCUCCCCCCCCACACACACUAAUCUUAACUGUGUUGGGUGAGGCAUUUGUUCAUGAGUUUGAUGUAGGUAAUGAUUUUGUAGGCAGAUAAGCUUAGGGGUCCUGGGAAUAGGGGAGAGAAGACUAGAUUUCUAAACAUAAGAGAAGUCACAUUAGUCAUUUCUGAAUGAUGCCUGCUACUUAUCCUAGCACCUGCUUUGAGAACUUCCUAGGAUAUAUGAAAAUUGCGGAAAAAUAGAGCUCAGUAGUUAACAAUUCUUUUUUAAUGUAUUUAUUUUUGACAGAGAGAAUAUGGGUGGGGAGGGAAGAAAAGGAGGGCAGAGCAUCCAAAGUGGGUUCUGCAUUGACAGCAGAGACUCCCCUAUGGGCACAAACUCACACACCUUGAGAUCAUGAUCUGAGCCGAAGUCGAACGUUUAAAGGACUGAGCCACCCAGGUGCCUAUUCAUCAGUAGUUAGCAAGCUGCAAAAGAAUGCAGAAACAGGGGCACCUGGGUGGCUUAGUCUGUUAAGCGUCCAGCUUUGGACCUGGUCAUGAUCUCAGGGUUCCUGGGUUUGAGCCCCACAUGGGGCUCUGUCCUGACAACUAGCUCAGAGCCUGGAGCCUGCUUUGGAUUCUGUGUCUCCCUCUCUCUCUCUCUGUCCCUUCCCUGCUCACGCUGCUUCUCUCUGUCUCUCAAAAAUGAAUUAAAGACAUAAAAAAAAUGUAGAAACAAACAGCCACUACCAGGCAUGCAGAUGGUCUAAUCAUAGAAGAUGCAAUAAAUCCAUGAUAUAUAGUCUCCCACUGCUGUGUCCAGAGUAGAGACUGACUUGACACACAUUCUCUUGUGGAUUUUGUGGGAAUUGAACACUUACUAUGAGCACCCAAAUAAUGGACUAAGGGCACCAGGCACUUGACGAUGCCUAUCCUUCCUGGUCCAGUGACUUCAAUCAACUAGGACCUGGACUCUCAAUUUAAGAUGACUUUUGGCUGAUUUGAAAAUAAAAUGUCGUUUGCCACAUCCCUUGACAUAUAUGCACGUGUACUUGAUGUAAAUCUGACCCGACGUUGGGAAAUAUCCCUGGUGUUCUUUUCUUGCAAGGAAAACUGAUUCUUUUCCUAUGUUUUGGUUGAUGGUAUCUUUUGGUUCAGCAGCCAUCAAGAGUGAAAUCAAUUGUGGGUUAUAAUUUCACAACGUGUAUAAAUAUUUACUCUUUUAUUCUUGUUUGUUUGGGGUUCUUUCCUUUUUUCUUUAUUUUUGAUAGAGAGACAGCGCGAACAAGGGAGGGU
ensembl:lncRNA